AAUGAACGCUGGCGGCGUGCUUAACACAUGCAAGUCGAACGGUGAACGAGGGAGCUUGCUCCCUCCGGAUCAGUGGCGAACGGGUGAGUAACACGUGAGCAAUCUGCCCUGGACUCUGGGAUAAGCGUUGGAAACGACGUCUAAUACCGGAUACGAGGCGUGGGGGCAUCCCCAACGCCUGGAAAGAACUUCGGUCCAGGAUGAGCUCGCGGCCUAUCAGGUAGUUGGUGAGGUAAUGGCUCACCAAGCCUACGACGGGUAGCCGGCCUGAGAGGGUGACCGGCCACACUGGGACUGAGACACGGCCCAGACUCCUACGGGAGGCAGCAGUGGGGAAUAUUGCACAAUGGGCGCAAGCCUGAUGCAGCAACGCCGCGUGAGGGACGACGGCCUUCGGGUUGUAAACCUCUUUUAGCAGGGAAGAAGCGAAAGUGACGGUACCUGCAGAAAAAGCACCGGCUAACUACGUGCCAGCAGCCGCCGUAAAAC
rnacentral:rRNA from 1 species